GAUGAACGCUAGCGGGAGGCUUAACACAUGCAAGUCGAGGGGUAACAUGAGGUAGCAAUACUUUGAUGACGACCGGCGCACGGGUGAGUAACGCGUAUGUAACCUACCCUGUACAGGGGGAUAGCCCGGAGAAAUUCGGAUUAAUACCCCAUAAUGAUAUUUUAGGGCAUCCUAUGAUAUUUAAAGCUUCGGCGGUACGGGAUGGGCAUGCGUGACAUUAGCUAGUUGGUAAGGUAACGGCUUACCAAGGCUUCGAUGUCUAGGGGUCCUGAGAGGGUGAUCCCCCACACUGGUACUGAGACACGGACCAGACUCCUACGGGAGGCUG
rnacentral:rRNA from 1 species